CACAGAGUGGUCUAGUGGUUUGUGCAUUGGACUAUGAUUCUGGAGACCAGGGUUUGAAUCACUGCUUGGUCA